UCUCAGCUGAUCGGCGGGUGGGCGGGGCUUCCACGGAGGCCUCGUGUAGGCCUCUGUGAAGCCUGAACUCCAGUAGGGCCCAAGCCAGCCAGGAAGGAGGAGGCAGCAGCCAGAGUGGCCACCACUGGUCUCUGCAGCAGAAGACCCCUUGCUGCCCUGCCCAACCCAGCUCAGCUUUUGCCAGCCCAGAACUCCAGGAAACUCCUCCCAGAACUCUUUCCAGUGGCUGACAUCCCAAGGGACUAUCACCAUACCAGGAACCUUUGCCUAUGCUGUGAAGAGCUUUCUUAGCUGUGCAGUACAGAGGUGUGCAGGCCAUUAAACGUGACGGGUAAAUUUCCGCUUCAGCCCUCCUGCUUUGAAGUACUCAGCCUGACCCAAGAUCCGCCGAGCUGCCUGCCUAGAGGCAUAGGAAGGCCAUGGCUUUGAGAAUCAUGCAUAGUCAUCCACAACUUUGGAGCACCCUGCUGAAUUUGAGCCACCAGCUGUUAUAUAUGGCAGCUCAUGAAGGGUCCAGGAAACAUCCAGAUUUUGCCACCUGCCUGCAACUGCAAAAACAGGAGGGUUGGCAAGCACCAGGAAGGCCACAAUUCACAGCUGAGUGGCUGUGCUUGUAAGCCUGACCUAAUACCACAUUAAGGAUAUUUCAUGCAUCAGUCCAUUUCCUUAAAGUACACUGAUAAUUUAUAUGGGCAUUCAAAAUACAUGUUAUGGAUGGAUGACUUGAUACAUGCAUGUGCGUGCCUAUGCAAGGUUUAAAAUAGGGAUACAUUAUGAAGCAUGAACACAGCAGUCAGGAAUCAGAUCUCUGUGUUAAUUUUGCUCAGGGAAAUGCUGGGAAUCUGUAAUGUACAGACUUCAAGCUAAAUAUCCCAUCUAUUAUCAUGCCCCAACUGACUUUUUUAUGACAUGUCAUUUCACUACGGACAUUGCUUUGUUUCACAAAUGGUUUCCCCACAGAUAAUGAUUGUUGGUUGGCCAAGUUGGAACCUGACAGGAUUAAGGAAAUCUAA